UACGUAGGGCGCAAGCGUUAUCCGGAAUUAUUGGGCGUAAAGAGCUCGUAGGCGGCUUGUCACGUCGGAUGUGAAAACUCGGGGCUCAACCCCGAGCCUGCAUUCGAUACGGGCUAGCUAGAGUGUUGCAGGGGAGACUGGAAUUCCUGGUGUAGCGGUGAAAUGCGCAGAUAUCAGGAGGAACACCGGUGGCGAAGGCGGGUCUCUGGGCAACUACUGACGCUGAGGAGCGAAAGCGUGGGGAGCGAACAGG
rnacentral:rRNA from 1 species